UGUUGAGAACAUUUAUGAAUAAAUUAAAAAGCAGGGGUCCUAAUACUGAACCUUGAGAGAUGCCACUUGUCACCUCUUUCCAUUCUGAGAACUGACCAUUUAUUGCUUUUCUCAGGUAUGCUUUAACUAGGCACCAAAACACAUACGAAGUUGGUCCCUAAGGUACCAGAUUUGGGUUGGGGUCACCACAGAAAAGACCCUGUUGUGUGUCACUGANCCUCACACAUCUGGAUGAGGUGGGAGUACAAGAAGUUAUACGUGACCCCCUACAACACCCUGCCUGCUGCCUGAGUAGGUGGGCCAUGUGGUUCUGAUCCAGCGACACCUUCGGUUCUUCUAUUCUGACCUGGACGCCAGGCCCUCCGCGGCUGUUAGUCCCGACGAGCGUAGGAGGCCACAGUCUUUCGAGGUGCCAGGCCGGCUAAGGCAGCAGCCGAGGCCUCCAACUUCACGGUGCCCCAAGCAGCGCCCUCUUUCUGCAGCGGCCCCCUGGCGCAAAAGGAGCGCCCCUCCGACCGCCUCCAGCGCCAGAGGCAGACUGACAGAGAGCAGCGAGGAGCGUGGGGCCGUGGCCAUUCGGCGCGCGCCGCUCAGCCUCGGUACCAGCAGGGGCAACGUGGGCGCCGGGGCGCCAGGCCAGGCGGGCCCGGACUAGGCUCCGCGGCCUGGGCGGGGGGAGACAGGGGGCGCUGAGGGCCGCCGCGGAGCCAGCGGCGGCGGAGGAGGCCAAGCCUAACGGGCGGCGAAGGAAGCCGCCCCUACGCGCGCCCGCCUCGUUCGCUCGCGCUCCGCCGUCCCGCCGGCUCCGAAGCGAACGGAGGCUGUCACGCUGUCGGGGCGGGGCAGCAGCGUGCUGCCGGCUGCGCUGCGGACGGGCUGGACAUCGGGGCGGCGCCCGACGAGCGAGGAGCAACAGAUACAGCCCCGCCGUCGAGAGGGAGCCCCCCUCCCAGCGCCGCCUGCGCUCCUCCCAGGCAGGCGCGCCCUCCCUCCCCCUGCUGUCGCCNCUGCUCCCGCUCAGCCCCGGGCACCAACCGGGCAGGCGGCGGCGGUGGCGGCACCCGACGGCGGGACGUGAGCCCAGCACCCUGCAUGUGGUCCAAGUGAGGCCGUCGGAGGAGGCUGCUUAAAGAGGGAAGUUUCAACAGAAAGUCGCUCCGUUUCAGCACUUGUGUGCAGUUGCAUCCUGAGGCUGGACGGGUGGCAAGAGGAUGGAAUGACGCCUUCUUAGUGGUGGCCCCAUAGUUACAGAUCUCAUGUGACCAAGAAGGAAAAGUGCAUGUUCUAGGCUCCAAUCCUGGGAUCACGCAAGAGAAGGUAUGGCAAACCAGCGGAAGUUUCCUUUUUCUUGCCUGCUCGUGGUUCUGCUAGGCAUGUGGUUGACUGUUCUCGGCGGUUCUUUAGCGGUGCUUUUCAGCGGCAUCUUCGCUCUUGUGGCUACAGGGAACUUCUUCCCAGGCUAGGCUUCCGUGCUCAGUUAUUUUUGGGAAGUGGCUGCAUGCGCUAGAUGCUGCCCUGAGAGGCUCACAGAGCCUGCUCCUGGGUGGCCCCUCUUGCCCNGACUUGGCCAACCCAGUCUGAUACAGUGCUUGGGAGAUGGUUUUCUGUGAGGGCUCUGGUUGGCUUUUC
rnacentral:lncRNA from 1 species